GCCCCUUUAGCGCAAUGGAAGCGCGUUGGACUUCUAAUCCGAAGGUCGAGGGUUCGAAUCUCUCCUGGGAUG